CUGCAUUCAGCCUUCUUUUCCGAGAUGUCAUCUUGCUGGAGGGCAGAAGGAUUCCCUGGAACCUGGGGGCCAGCAGGACAGAGGAAACAGAAAGUACAUGACUGAUGAUGUCUUUCGACCACAGAAAGGGCUGGAAGAAGCAGGGGACCUACUGUUUGAAUAAACCCAGUGGAAAAACAGAAGCCCCAUUUCAUACUUGACUCAGCUCUUCAAGUUUAAAUCUUGAAUCUCCUCAACUACACGGAACAGUGUUUCUCCCAAGUCAUCUGACACCCACUCUGUUCUCUGGAUCAUUCCUUCCUAGAGAACGUUGCUCUUGGAGGGCUGUGAUCUGCUCUCACCCACUUGCCUUUCUGACCCGCUGAGUGCAUCUCAACAGUCACUUGGGGUGAUCCGAUCUGACCAGGAAGGGUUGGGUGGCUCGUGGAGCUUGGGAAGCACUCUCACGGUGGCGGUCCCCAUUGGUGGUCACGGGGUUGCCACAGUGAGCUACGUUUCUACCCUCAUCUCUCUAUAUGUUACCGUGGAAUCUCUGACUGAGGACCCAUGGGCUCACCCAAUGUGAUAAAGUCCUGAAGCUCAGCCGGGACGUCUGACCCCAGCUGCAGGACUUUCCAAUAGACAGAUGCAUAGAACUUGAGAAGAAAUCGACUUAGAAACCUGAAGUUGGAAAACUGGUUGCCUGACAUUCUGUGCAAGACUGAAUCUCUGAGAAAUGAAGGCUGUGUAACUUUGGGACCAUGUCUUUUCCAGCCUACAUAGACCCCAGGAAACUUUGCAGUUGUUCCCCAAGUAUGGAUGGAGUCAAACUUGAUGUCCUUUCAUCCCCCCAUCCCAUCCACUAAUCCAUAUCCUUUGGAAAUUUUAGAGUGCCAGGCCUCAGGUAAAU
rnacentral:lncRNA from 1 species